rnacentral:rRNA from 1 species
GUGCCAGCAGCCGCGGUAAUACGGAGGGUGCGAGCGUUAAUCGGAAUUACUGGGCGUAAAGCGCAUGCAGGUGGUUUGUUAAGUCAGAUGUGAAAGCCCGGGGCUCAACCUCGGAACUGCAUUUGAAACUGGCAAACUAGAGUACUGUAGAGGGGGGGUAGAAUUUCAGGUGUAGCGGUGAAAUGCGUAGAGAUCUGAAGGAAUACCAGUGGCGAAGGCGGCCCCCCUGGACAGAUACUGACACUCAGAUGCGAAAGCGUGGGGAGCAAACAGGAUUAGAUACCCUGGUAGUCC